CGCUGGCGGCGUGCUUAACACGUGCGAGUCGAACGAUGAGGCCUAGCUUGCUAGGUGGAUUAGUGGCGAACGGGUGAGUAAUACGUGAGUAACCUACCUUUAACUCUGGGAUAAGCCUGGGAAACUGGGUCUAAUACCGGAUACGACCAAUCUCCGCAUGGGGUGUUGGUGGAAAGCGUUAUGUAGUGGUUAUAGAUGGGCUCACGGCCUAUCAGCUUGUUGGUGAGGUAACGGCUCACCAAGGCGACGACGGGUAGCCGGCCUGAGAGGGUGACCGGCCACACUGGGACUGAGACACGGCCCAGACUCCUACGGGAGGCAGCAGUGGGGAAUAUUGCACAAUGGGCGCAAGCCUGAUGCAGCGACGCCGCGUGAGGGAUGACGGCCUUCGGGUUGUAAACCUCUGUUAGCAGGGAAGAAGAGAGAUUGACGGUACCUGCAGAGAAAGCGCCGGCUAACUACGUGCCAGCAGCCGCGGUAAUACGUAGGGCGCGAGCGUUGUCCGGAAUUAUUGGGCGUAAAGAGCUUGUAGGCGGUUUGUCGCGUCUGCUGUGAAAGGCCGGAGCUUAACUCCGUGUAUUGCAGUGGGUACGGGCAGACUAGAGUGCAGUAGGGGAGACUGGAAUUCCUGGUGUAGCGGUGGAAUGCGCAGAUAUCAGGAGGAACACCGAUGGCGAAGGCAGGUCUCUGGGCUGUAACUGACGCUGAGAAGCGAAAGCAUGGGGAGCGAACAGGAUUAGAUACCCUGGUAGUCCAUGCUGUAAACGUUGGGCACUAGGUGUGGGGGACAUUCCACGUUUUCCGCGCCGUAGCUAACGCAUUAAGUGCCCCGCCUGGGGAGUACGGCCGCAAGGCUAAAACUCAAAGAAAUUGACGGGGCCCGCACAAGCGGCGGAGCAUGCGGAUUAAUUCGAUGCAACGCGAAGAACCUUACCAAGGCUUGACAUAUACUGGACCGCAUCAGAGAUGGUGUUUCCCUUCGGGGCUGGUAUACAGGUGGUGCAUGGUUGUCGUCAGCUCGUGUCGUGAGAUGUUGGGUUAAGUCCCGCAACGAGCGCAACCCUCGUUCUAUGUUGCCAGCACGUUAUGGUGGGGACUCAUAGGAGACUGCCGGGGUCAACUCGGAGGAAGGUGGGGAUGACGUCAAAUCAUCAUGCCCCUUAUGUCUUGGGCUUCACGCAUGCUACAAUGGCCGGUACAGAGGGUUGCGAUACUGUGAGGUGGAGCUAAUCCCUAAAAGCCGGUCUCAGUUCGGAUUGGGGUCUGCAACUCGACCCCAUGAAGUCGGAGUCGCUAGUAAUUGCAGAUCAGCAACGCUGCGGUGAAUACGUUCCCGGGCCU
rnacentral:rRNA from 1 species